rnacentral:tRNA from 1 species
GUAAAUAUAGUUUAACCAAAAAUACUGGAUUGUGAUUCCAAGGAUAGGGGUUAAAAUCCCCUUGUUUACC